AUUGCGCAUCAAAGCAUAUUCACUUUGACAGACAAUAAUGGAGGUUAUAAUAUCAACUAUCGCCGGUGUGUUUGUAAGUCACGUGACUACAUGCAGCGCCCACACCUGGUGAUGCAUGCAGGCCCAGGUGAGUUUGGACAGGCGAGCCUCGUCAUUGGUUCACUAGAGCUCGGAGCUGUGAUGAAAUAAACCUUGAAGACUUGCACAUGAAGAAAGGAGCUCCAGAGGAGAUGGUACCCGGUGCCUGCCUCCUGCGUUCUGGAAUAUUGAAAGACUUGCAAGUGCAUUCUGUUUCCCCCACUGAUAAUCCAAUUGGGAAAACCAAUAACAUGUUCCUCACAGACCACGCUGGAGCCUCUGCACAUUUCUAUGGAGUGGUGUUGUGGUGCAAGAGGACUGCUCAUUCAUAUAGUGAUACACAUCAGAUCAGAGACGAGGAAACACCCAGGCGCAAGUGCAGAUACCCAGUAUCCAAUCUGACAAGCGAGAGCUUUGAGAUGCCUUUGGUAUGAACCAUAAAAAAUGGCUGGAAAAACAAUGAACAAGAGAUGUGACAACUUCAAUUAUUUGGUUCUGCUAAGAGCUGGAAGACAAGGCCUGCUGGAAAAGCUGUUGGGGAGCCCUAGGGUGUCAACCAGGCUACAAAAAUGGCAGGUGACAAGGACAACACACUUUUUUUUUUUUUUUCCUUCUCCCCCUCCUAAAUGCUGCUAAAAACCACAGGCCAUCGCUAAAAAGACAAAUUAUUGCACAAUGAAUUUCAUGGAGGACAACAAUGUGUCACCUUCUUAACAAGCCCUCCCUCUUAGAUAUAUCAUCAACCUCUAUUAUGAUGACCUUUAAAAAGAAAACUUAACCAUUGAAACUCCCAGCUCAGAAGAACAAUCACCCUACCAGUAAAAUGGAAGCUGAAACAUUUAAAGUGUUCAGUUUUAAAAUCACAUGCUUUUAUUUAUUUUUUUGCC